ACAGACUGGCAGGCCGGCCAGACAGACGGACAGGCUGACCCCGGCCCGGGGGAGCAGGCGCAGCGGCUGCGCAGGUCCCGCCACCGCCUUCUGGCCCCAGGCGGCCCCUCAGGGCACGAGCUCUUAGGCGGGCGGAGGCGGCCGCGAGGCGCUUACCUGAGGGCGCGGCGGGGGCGCGGGGCGGCUCACUCUCUUCCCGCCGCCAUGUUUCCGCUGCGCAGGGAGGGAGCGGAGACGCGGGAAGGGGGCGGGCGGGCGGCUCGGGAGAGCGGCGGGCGGGCGGCGGGGGGCUCCACCGAGCUGGCGGUGGCGGCUGAGGCGGGGGGCGGGGCGGGGGCUCCCCCGGCCCCUCCCCCGCGCCUCCCGCUGCGAGGUGGCGCGCGCCUCGGCCGUUGGGCUCGCGCGGGGGGCGGGGCGGCGCGCUGGAGGAGGGAGGGCGCGCGGGAACCCGGCCCGGCCGUACCCCGCCGGCCUGCCGACCCGGGUCCGGGGGCCCAGUUGGCGCCCGGACCAGCUCUCCGGUCUGCGUCCUGUAGAUGGGAAAACUGAGGCCUGAGAGGGCGCGAGGGCGGGGACGAGGCCGAGGACUCGGGUUCGAAUCUCGAGGACGCCAGUAGCCCGCUCUGAGGCCGCGUGGGGCUGGUGGAGGAGCCACCGGUCGGGCCCCCAAGACCGGCUGACGUGGGCCUCGCCUCGGGCGACUCCCGCCGGGCUAGUGGCUGGCCGUGUGGUGACCUUGGGCGAGUUACUUCGCACAGCCACCCAGGGGCCUCUUCUCCAACACGAUAGCACUGCACCCGGAGGGCCUUCAGACCUGAGCUGAAAUCUACACCACCGGCUCUCUGACUAUCAGGCUUUGGACUAUACUUUGGGCUUUCCUGGGUCUCUUACCUGGCAGACAGCAGAUUUUGGAACUUUUCAGCCUCCAUAAUCAUCAACUCUGUGAGGGAUUGUUAUCUCCAUUUUAUGGAUGAGGAAGCUGACUCUGAGAGAUGACUUUCCAAAUUCAUCCAACUGGAAGAAAAAGGAAGUCUCUGGGGACUUGAAUCCAGAACUGUCCAGCUCCAAGUCCAGGGCUCACUCUAUUAAGCCACUCCAUGAGGAAUGAGUCCCUAAGGAGGCCACAGAAGGCCCUAAGCCCUCUUUUGUUCUCUGGAAGAGAGUGCCAUUUCUUGGCCCUUCCCAAGGCCUUGACAACUGAAGUUCCCAGAAGAACCACAAAGCAUAAAUUUCCCCAAAAGGGGAAUUUUGUUGAUGGCUUUAGUCUAUUCCCUCCUAAAAGACCAGCUACAACCAAAUGAAGUGAACAUAACCUCAAGGGUGUAUUGUCUUCAUAAUAAAAGAUGAAGCUUAGAACUGGAUCACUUGGCCCUUUCUCUUCUGACAUCCUCCCAGUUGAAAAGGCCUGCAUCUCCUAAUAGCCUGCCAGCAUUCUCUUAGAUCUGCAGUUGGGCUCAAAACACCCAAGCCUCUGCACAAUGUUCUUUGUAAUUUCAGUCUUUUCCCUGAAAAGUUGGCCUAGUAGCCAUACUGCUUCCUGUCAUAAUGCUGCCUUCCCCGGGCAUACAGAAGACCCUUGCCCUUCUUAUAUUGUGUCACUUUGUGGGGUUGGUGCUUGCUACAAUUCUUAUAGAAAGUCUGGUGAGUUUUAGGAACGUUCACCAUGUUUGUGGGAGUGCUAUAACUACCUUUGUUGUGUUUUUCUGUCUUUUUCUUCUUUCUGAUGUGCUGGUUCCUUGCUUUUCCCUUCCUCCCUUGGUUCCUAUCUGAGCUGCUUUUUUUUUUUUUUUUUUGAGACGGAGUCUCGCUCUGUUGCCCAGGCUGGAGUGCAGUGGUGCAAUCUCGGCUCAC
rnacentral:lncRNA from 10 species